rnacentral:rRNA from 1 species
GUCCAUGCCGUAAACGAUGAAUGCUAGGUGUGGGGGACUGACCCCCUCCGUGCCGGAGUAAACACAAUAAGCAUUCCACCUGGGGAGUACGACCGCAAGGUUGAAACUCAAAGGAAUUGACGGGGGCCCGCACAAGCAGUGGAGUAUGUGGUUUAAUUCGAAGCAACGCGAAGAACCUUACCAGGUCUUGACAUCCAACUAACGAACUAGAGAUAGAUUAGGUGCCUUUCGGGGAAAGUUGAGACAGGUGGUGCAUGGUUGUCGU